AACGAACGCUGGCGGCAUGCCUAACACAUGCAAGUCGAACGAGACCUUCGGGUCUAGUGGCGCACGGGUGCGUAACGCGUGGGAACCUGCCUUUAGGUUCGGAAUAACUCAGAGAAAUUUGAGCUAAUACCGGAUGAUGUCUUCGGACCAAAGAUUUAUCGCCUUUAGAUGGGCCCGCGUUGGAUUAGCUAGUUGGUGGGGUAAAGGCCUACCAAGGCUGAGAUCCAUAGCUGGUCUGGGAGGAUGAUCCGCCACACUGGGACGUGGAACCGGCCCCGACUACUUCGGGAGGGAAGAAUGGGGGAUAUUGGAAAAUGGGGGGAAGGCCGAACCCGCCAGGGCGGGGUAGUGAUGAAGGGCUUAGGGUUGUAAAGCUCUUUUACCCGAGAUGAUAAUGACAGUAUCGGGAGAAUAAGCUCCGGCUAACUCCGUG
rnacentral:rRNA from 1 species